UAGCUCAGUCAGUAGAGCGUAGCACUAACAAUGCUAAGGUUGCGGGAUUGAUUCCUGU
rfam:Apaloderma vittatum contig9994, whole genome shotgun sequence.